CUUUACAGUUGUCUCCCUAGCAACAACCAGACAACUAUAAAAAUUCUAUAAACCAUUUUCCCAUACACUUAGCAAAAUUUUUAUUUAUAUGGGCACCAUAACAAAGAGAAAAAUUGAAGUGGUGAGCUGAAAAUUAAAGUGAAAUAUUUGGGCUAUUCGUGGCAAGAUGAGUGGAAAAUGAAGAAAUUGAACAGCCUUUGCUGGGAUGACCAACCAGGAUCCCCUUUUUCUUUCUUCUUAUUGAUGACAAGCCAGAUUCAGCUAAGAUUGGCAAAUAUGUUGAGGGGUACAGAGAUUGUAUGUCUUAUAAUGGCUCUCAAACUUCCUGAUUUGAACUCUUCUGAUCUGAGACAUGCCUGGAGAUUGCCAUCGAAGCCCCAUCCCCCGAUCCUUUGGUAGUGCCACAUUCUACUAAUAAACUCUGGACAUGUUUCUUGUGAAGGAAACGUGACAAAUAUGUGUGUUCCUGGAAGUCAUUGUGUGAGGUUCCAAGCUCUCCCUCACAUUUAGACUAGUGGGAUCGUAUCUUUCUAAGUGAUGCGACGGAAGAUUUAUAAAUAUUUCCAUUGCAUACUUAAAUGAAGGCAAGUCAGUUUGGCUAUUGUAAGCAUUUUCAGGAUUUGGAUCUUCUCUUUUUUAAAGAUUUCAUUAGGUUUUUCGUGUAUGUAUUUCUUGAGAAUUGUGGGUUCUACAGAUUCUUGUUUUCAGGAUGUAUACAUUCGGUUCUACCUCUACGUGGACGAUGCCUUGUGGUCUAA